AUUUGAAUUCUAAUGACCAGGCACUGAGAUGAUAUUAUCAUUUAUGGACGACAAGACGUGGGGUGUCCUUCCAUUCCUCAUCACACAUUUCAUCAAAGCUAUCAAGACAUGCAUUUCCAGUCUGUUCGAAGAGGUCAAAUGUAUGUGAUGUAAGAAGCCAGAGCUCUCACCAAUCUGGUGUUGCCAAACGAGUUGACAGGCAGAGGGAGGAAGAGCGGUAGAUGGUAACGCUGUUCUACGUGAAUGCUUAUAUUAUUAUGUCACAAUAAAGUUUCUUGUUUGUCGCUCCUGGUGUUCAUCUGCAGAGAAAUGGGGUGGGAAAUUCCUAGCUACUUGUAAAUGCUACGAGGCACACUAUGCAGCACAGAGGGUUUAUUGUAUGUAUAUGCUCAUAUUAAUUAAUUAAGAGUCUUUCUGAGACACCUAAUGCUAGGCCAUCAAUUUCUAUGGCUGCUGGAUCGGUGAGAUCUCUCUCUCUCUCUCCCUCUCCCUCUCCCUCUCUCUCUCUCAAUUUCGAGGCAUCAAUGAAUGGAAGAACGUGCUCAUCUUCUGAAGAGAUUCCCUGGUCUCCAAUCUCUUUACCUUUCUAUCAUGCGCUUCUCUUUCAAUUCAUACAGUGGAUUUUGGGUUUUUUUUUUAUUAUUUUAUUUGAAUAUUCCUUUUCUCCUUUCCCUUUUUUUUAUGUUGUUACUUGAAGAGGAGAUAUAAGAAUGAUGAAUUAUUUGGAAUUGAGUGCGAUGAAGUUAUGUGAUUAAAAUUAUCUUGAUCAAUUAUUUAAACUGAAAUUAAUUUCUUUUGCAGUUCAUCAUAUUCGAUUUCAUUAUGUUGAACUAGUUAAACAUGUAAGCGAAGUCUAAGAACAUUUACAUUUUAAUUGCUAGCAAUCCUCAAUGUAUCGAGCUCUCUAUUUAUUCCUAAACUAAUAUAUUUCUAUGAACUUUUUCUCGCAGAUUUUUUUACUCAAAUCUAAUAAAAUUAUACAAGUAACGAACCUAACCAUCACUCCAAUGGUUUGGUUUUUCUUGAAGGUUAUGAAUAUCCUUCACAUUGAGUUUCUAAUCUCCCUUCACAACUACGUAAUCUGGUGUUUUUGCAUUGGACUUCUUCUGGGAUCUGCGGCGAAUGAAUGGUUAAGAAAAAAAACCCUAAAAACUUCAAAUUAAUUAACAAAGAUUAAAAUUAAUACGCAGCCAUGGAAGGGGCGAGGUGACGCUCGGCAAAUAUUCCUGAACCUCCUUAUCUCCUUAUCGUCAAUCAAAAGUUCCUCAGAAGAAAUCUAUCCAUCUCAGUGUAUAUUGGUGGUACAGUGUGGUGGCAUGUGAGCAACUUGAGUCCCAUCAUGUUAUCUGGAUGGUAGUAUGCUUUUCAUGAAAAUUAUCUGCUGCCAUUAGCAAUUUUGUCAGUUCCAUCCCUACAUCUCUGAUUUACAACCCAGUUUUCUGUUUCCAAUGCCUCCUCUCUUCUUUUCCCGCCAUGAUCUGAGCCACAGAGGGGUCAUCGACAGGUGUCAUUAUUACCAGUUUGAACAAGGUUAACAUUGUAUGCUGUAAUUUUCUUUUUUUUGUUUUUGAACAUCCUUGUCUGAAAUAGAUCAUGCCAGUCGUGAGUGUCAUCCACUUCUCUCUUUGCCAAUAUUAGUCUUUAUUUUGUAAUGAUUUGUCUCAAGCGCAGGCUCCCUGCAAAUCUCAUGCAUCAUGCAGGCAUGGCUGAUCAAAAUUUAAUUACAGCUUAAGUCAGAAAUUGAAGAUCAUUAAACUUAGAUGAUGACUAAGGACAACUAAUGAAUUAUACCUCAGCCGACAUUCAUCUACUCCUCUUCCAAGAGAUUUGAGAUUCAUGAUCUACCGUUUCAAGAGAUUUAAUUAAGUUUCUUUUCAUAAAAAAAAAAAAACCCCGAAUAGCACAUACUAGUUUCUUCUCUCGCAUGAUGCCACAUAAUCAUUCUCAAAAACCUAUUUUUACUUAAUUUUAUAACUAUUAAAACUAUUACUUUG
rnacentral:lncRNA from 1 species